GCAGCAUUUUUGGCCUUGGUGCAGUCUCCUUUUCAGAAACUCCAGCAAGAUCUAGUGCUCUGAUGUCAUUGCUGAUGCCUUCUUCUGAACUGGAAUUUGAGGACACAUCCCACAGACUGUUGUUAUCAGACAGGAGCUGGUUGAGAUGGUAUCGAGAGAAGUGUGUUCCCUCUAUUCGUUGCCUGUAAGCCUUUGCUCUUGCUCGAAG
rnacentral:lncRNA from 1 species